UAAGGCUGCGUUCACAACAUACAAAGCUUACAUUAAUUUUUUGGAAAAAUGUUAUUUUGAAAAUGUAUUUUAUUUUUAUAAUAUACCACAACCGCUUAAUACUCGCUCUACUAAAUUCAUAUUACCGCAAUGAAAAUGCCAUCAGCAUAUACUGCAGACAAUAGGCACGGCAGUACAGUUAGUAUAACAUAAAUUUUAUCCUGUCGAGAUGCCCUGUUAUGAUAACAAAUGCCCACAUACAGAUUUGGCAAUGGCAGUAGUAAUUGAUAUCACAGUUAGUAUUCCAUAAGCUUUAGCAUGUCGGUAUGCCCCGUAAUACAUUGGGGAUGCAUUCGAAUGGCGUGUGCGCGAGUAAUACCACGUUCAGACUGACACUUAAUCACACGAUUUCGGGUCUUGAGUAGUUUAUCCCACUAAUCUUAUAAAUUUUCAAGAGUUCGCCAUACAAAAGUGAUAAUUCAAAACCACUGUGAUUAGUGAAGAGAUUAAUAGCGGGAUUCUGUAACCAGUGUCUAGGUCUAUUUGAGACAUUUUGAGGUAAAAUCUCAAUUUGUGACUAGUUAUUAUUCACUAAACAGUCUCUAGCGUUAGUCUCAAAAUGUUGCCUCAAAUUUGAGACCUGGUAGUUAGCAGGUCACAAAACCAAAAAGAACUCUUGUCUGCCAUUUUGAAUAUACUGAAUAGAGAUCAUCAUCAAGAAUGAUGGAAAGAAGAUUGCGCAAUGCGCAUGUUUGUUUUCAGUCAGCUGUUCUUGCUGACGUCACGGUUGACUUAUUAUUCGCCCGAGCUUUUGAAAGUGAAUUCGAUUGUGUUUUCAAGUGUUGUAUUAAUUGUGAAAUUUUUUAUUUUUUAAAAUGCGUUGCGCAGUGUUCGGGUGUAAUAUUAAUAACGGUAAAAAUUGUGCUACGAAUUGGAGAUUUUUUCAUUUCCCUAAAGAUAAAGCAGUAGUAAAACAAUGGAUUAAUUUUUGUCGUCGCACGGACAAAAUUAAUGUUAAAAAUGCAUGCAUUUGUGAAGUGCACUUCGCGCCAGAAGCCUUCGAAAGAAACUUGCAGUUUGAAAUGGUUCGCGGAAUCCAAUUAAGUUGCUACCUAGGGCUUUUCCCACGUUAACCACUGCUCCUGCAGAGGCUAAUGAACGGCAAAAAAGAAUGGAGUCUCGUUUCAAAAAAGAGAUGUUAACGACAAUUUUGAAGAAUACCGCCCCUGUUGAAGUAAUUCAAGAAAACGAGGUUGGAGAGGUACUUCAAACUGCAGGAGAGGAGGUCAUCGAUGAGAAAGACGAGAAAAUACUGCAUUUGGAAACAGAAAUACAAAGGCUGAAUAGUGUUGAUAGCACUUUGGUAAGUGCAAAAACGAGCAGUUAGCAGAAGUUGAACUCCUUAGGAUUUCCAUUAAAACCUCGGAAUUCCACAGUAAUAAUUUGGAGCAAAAACUUAGCUGCAUUUUUACUAACGGCUAGGUAAUAUUUUUCAACGUGUGUCAGUUGAUCUAAACUCCACUGACCCAACUGAAAAAAAUGUUGACUUGGAGAUUCUCAACAACGACGGACUUGAAAAUUUGGCAGGGCAACCCCGAAAUUUGUGCCAAUUCAGAAAAUUGUUCAUCUUAUACUUGGGUGUAUCACCUUUCCGCAGGAGGACUCUCAAAACCAACAGAUAUGUUGUGAUCCAUCAACAUGUGAGACCCUUGCAAGCAGUAUUUGACGAUGUAAAUGAUACUGAUUUGCAUAUAUGUACAAAUUACGCACAGAAGCACUUAGAUUUACGUAAUUUUUUAAAUUUUAGCUCGAAAGUAAAAUAAUUGUUUUUCAGAGCUAGAAUGUAUUUUAGGAUUCGUUCCUUAAAUAAAAACUUAAUUGAACAUACAUACGUAUAUACAUUGGAAGAAUAUUUAAAUCAAGAUGAUCCACCGUUUAAUGAUCCAAAAAUUCCAUCACACAUACAAGGAACGGAACGACAUGUUCAAUUGCUAGCUAGCGUUUCCAAACGGGUUAUACCGGAAAAUGUAGAGGCUGUUAUGGCGACGACAUUAGAGAGCCGUGCGAAAUUGCCCAGACUAGAAAGUAAAAAAGACUUCAAAUAAUUUUUUUUAAUUUCUUUUCUAUAACUCACUUAAAUUAAUUUUUUUCAUUUACAUAUGUUCUGACUAAAUAAAUUUCUUAAGAGAAAAAAUAGAUAUUAUUAUAAAUAAAUAAAUAAAAAUAAAGAAAAAACAUAGCAA